UUCUUGAGUGUGUACUUGUUAAGCCUUUUAAGAAAAAAGUUAUUAACUUAAGGAAUUAUAACAAAGAAGCAACACGUAAAUGGAUUUUCCAUUUUUUAGUGUGUAUCAAUCGAGUUUCUGACCUAUCAGCUUUUGAUGUUAGGGUAUUGGCCUAACAUGGCUAUGACGGGUAACGGGGAAUUAGAGUUCGAUUCCGGAGAGGGAGCCUGAGAAAUAGCUACCACAUCUAAGGAAGGCAGCAGGCGCGUAAAUUACCCAAUUCUAAAGAAGAGAGGUAGUGACAAGAAAUAACAAUACAAGGCCAAUCUGGCUUUGUAAUUGGAAUGAUGGGAAUUUAAAACCUUCCCAAAACUCAAUUGGAGGGCAAGUCUGGUGCCAGCAGCCGCGGUAAUUCCAGCUCCAAUAGCGUAUAUUAAAAUUGUUGCAGUUAAAACGCUCGUAGUUGAAUUUCAAAGAAUCGAUAUUUUAAGUAACGCUUUGUAGAUUAAUCCACAUAACUGAUACUACGUAUCGACUUUGUGCGCAUUUUUUUACUUAUGUGUUCUUUUAAUUAAAAUGAUUCUUUUUAAGAUCUUUCUUUUUUGCUUCGGCAUUUUAGGAGAUCUUGUUACUUUGAGUAAAUUAGAGUGUUCAAAGCAAACAGAUUAUAGCAUCUUUAUGCGUUUGAAUACUACAGCAUGGAAUAACAAAAUUGAACAAGUCAGAAUUUUGUUCUUUUUUCUUAUUUUGGCUUAGUUACGAUUAAUAGGAGUAGCUUGGGGGCAUUUGUAUUCAGAUGUCAGAGGUGAAAUUCUUAGAUUUUCUGGAGACAAACAACUGCGAAAGCAUUUGCCUAAAAUACUUCCAUUAAUCAAGAACGAAAGUUAAGGGAGUGAAGACGAUCAGAUACCGUCGUAAUCUUAACCAUAAACUAUGCCGACUAGGC
rnacentral:rRNA from 1 species